CAUCCUUCAAUCCCAUGACUUCCAGCAAACCAUCAUCACACCUUUGUUCCUCCAAACCCUCCUGUAUACGGUCAAUGACUUCAAGUUACGAGCAGCGUUGAAAAAAAAGGUAAUAUGUAUAAAUAUAUAUAUAUAUAUAUAUAUAUAUAUAUGUAGAAAAAACGGUACACUCAUCAAUAAUUUGACAUUCCCAUAAAGUUUUAAAUCCACAGUGGGUCAUUCAACAGAAACGAAACGCAGGCCAACGCGUAAUAAGAGAACCCACCUUUUGUCUUAUUUCUGCAGAGGGUUUUCCCCACGGGAUUCGUCCGCCCGCGUAGCUUUGUAUAUUACAAAUUACAAUUGCUCGAAUACUGCCGGCACAAUGAUGAAUGGCAUUGUUAAUUUCCAAACAGGUAAGAGAUUUGGCCGGGAGGAAUAGCUGCACCAGAGCGCUCAAGAUUUGGAACUUACUUGCUAGGAAGAUGAAUCUCCUGCCAAUCUCCGGAGCUGGCGCCCCUCUUUCUCCCAGACAACUUCAAAAUACUUGACAGGCCACUGCAGAUAUACAAUCAGCUAAUGUGAUCAUGGUAAUUGAUGAUGCAUUACGAAUUAAAACACCCAAUUUCAGUGAUAAGUUGCACACGGAAAGUGCUCGUAGAAUUGCAGCCAUCAGAAGUCAAGUGCCAGACGACUUAAUAUAUUAUAAGAUGUAUUGGCAGAACCAAUCGAUCGCAAGGAUAAAGUACGAACACCAAGGUUGCAAAUAUUCAAAAUACCUGGCACCAGAAUCCGUUGAACAAGCAGUGCAGAACCAACCUUGCGUGCAACCGAAACCGGAGUAGAUAAGCUGCAA
rnacentral:lncRNA from 1 species